GAUGAACGCUAGCUACAGGCUUAACACAUGCAAGUCGAGGGACCGGCGCACGGGUGAGUAACACGUCUCCCACCUGCCCUUUACUCGGGGAUAGCCUUUCGAAAGAAAGAUUAAUACCCGAUGUAAAGGAGGGGGAUGCGUUCCAUUAGGUUGUUGGUGAGGUAACGGCUCACCAAGCCUUCGCUGGAUAGGGGUUCUGCGAGGAAGGUGCCCCACAUUGGAACUGAGACACUGUCCAAACGCUGACGGGAGGCAGCAGUGAGGAAUAUUGGGCAAUGGGCGUUAGCCGGAACCAGCCAAGUAGCGUGAAGGAUGAAGGCUUAUGGGUCGUAAACUUCUUUUAUAUAAGAAUAGGUAUUAUAUGAAUAAGGAUCGGCUAACUCCGUGCCAGCAGCCGCGGUAAUGC
rnacentral:rRNA from 1 species